UCGGGUGGAUCGCCGAGAGAAAGUGGGCGAUGGCGUGGGGAGAGCAAGAAAAUGGGGAUGGGCAGAUGUACCGCUACAUGAUGCUGUGUUUGUGUUCUGUUUUGAAGGUUCGAAGGCACGAGGGAGCCAGGUAAUUGGCACCGGAGAGGACUCGGCCAGGAGGUCCCCGAGCCUGACGCAGCAGGAUGGAAUGACCCACGUGGAGGGCUAGAGGUCAAGAUGCUAUAAGAUGCCUCGGAGAGGUGAAGCCACACACUGAGGAGGAGGCUGGAAAGGGGCCGUGAGGACAGCCUCCGGAGCUUUCGAGGUGAGCCAGGCCGGUUGCGAGGAGGG